rnacentral:rRNA from 1 species
ACUGAUGUAUACAAUGAGUCUAUAGCCUUGACCGACAGGCCCAGGUAAUCUUUAAAAUUUCAUCGUGAUGGGGAUAGAUCAUUGCAAUUGUUUCCGUAGGUAAACCUUAUCAUUUAAAGGAAGGAGAAGUUGUAACAAGGUUUUCAUAGGUGCACCUAUGGAAGGAUCAUACGAACGCGUUUAAAAACAAACUAUCAACAAGUUGGGUUGUUUGGGAAUGCAAUCCCAAUCGGGUGGUAAAUUCUAUCCAAUGCUAAAUAUGGGCAAGAAACCGAUAGCAAACAAGUACCGCAAGGGAAAGAUGAAAAUGACUUUAAAAGAUAAUUAAAUAGUGCUUGAAAUUGUCAAGAGGUAAGUGGAUGGUAGCCGGUGAUGUACCCCAGUCGGAUGUGGAACGGUGACGAGUCGGUCCGCCAAUCAACUUAGAGCAUGGACCGAUGCGAAUUGAGACGGUAGCCUAUGCUCAGACCUUUGUUACGCCUGUGGAGAUGUCGUCGUCCAGAUCAUGGCUGGCAGCGUGUGCCUUAUGGCAGGCUUUGACAUCUGCGCACUCUUGGCAUCAGCCUGUGGGCUCCCCAUUCGACCCGUCUUGAAACACGGACUAAGGAGUCUGGCAUGUGUGUGAGUUAACAGGUGAGUAAUCUCGUAAGACGCAUGGAACCUAGCUGGUGUAUCCCUUAGUGGGUUGCACCACCGACCAACCAUGGUCUUCAGAGAAGGGUUCGAUUGUGAGCAUGUCUAUCGGGACCCAAAAGAUGGUGAAUUAUACCUUAGUGAGGCAAAGUCAGAUGAAACUCUGAUGGAUGCUCGUAGCGAUACUAAAGUGCAAAUCAGACAUCUGACUUGGGUAUAGGGGCGAAAGACUAAUUGAAUCGUAUAGUAGCUAGUUUCUUUCGAAGUUUUCCUCAAGAUAGCUUGAGCCCGCGAGCAAGUUCUAUAGGGUAAAGCCAAUGAUUAGAGGCAUCAGGGGUGCAAUGCCCUUGACCUAUUCUCAAACUUUAACUAGGUAGGUCAACAAGACUGCUUUAUAGAGCCACACCACAAAAUCGAGAGCUCCAAGUAGGCCAUUUUUAGUCAGCAGAACUAGUGAUGCAAGUUGAACAAAAAGCUGGGUUAUGGUGCCUAUCUGCACGCUAACCUAGAUCCCAUAAAAGGCACAAAGGGUCUUGGUCGAUUAAGACAACAGGACGGUGGUCAUGGAAGUCGAAAUCCACUAAGGAGUUUGUAACAACUCAUCUGCCGAAUAAACUAGCCCCCGAAAAUGGAUGGCAUUAAAGCACGCGACCUAUACCCGAUCAUUAGGGCAAGAGCCAGGCCCCGAUGAGUAGGAGGGUAAGACGAUCACUACAAAACCUUGAGCGUGAGCUCGAGCAGAGCGUCCAUCGGUAGAGAUCUUUGUAAUAGUAGCAAAUAUUUAAAUGAGAACUUUGAAGGCCGAAGAGGGGAAAGGUUCUAUGUGAACGACACUUGCAUAUGGUUUAGUCGACCCUAAGAGACGGGGAAACCCAUUUGAUAGCGCGACAACACGAACUUUGAAUGGGAAUCAAGUUAAAAUUCUUAAACUAGGACGUGACGGUUGACGACAGCGUAAGGGAUUCCAAGACGUCGGUAUGGCUUUGAGAAGAGUUAUCUUUUUUGUUUCACAGUCUGCCCACCAUGGAAACGGCUCAGCCGGAGGUAGGGUUCAGUGGCUAGAAGUGCACUGCACGUUGUAUGGUGUUCAGUGCGCCCCCUACGACCCUCAAAAAUUUAGACGAGUACAUCUCACGCCCAAUCGUACUUAUAACUGCAUCAGGCCUUCAAGGUGAACAGCCCCUAGUCAAUGGAACAAUGUAGGCAAGGGAAGUUAGAAAAAUGAAACCGUAACCUCGGGAAGAGGAUUGGCUUUGAGAGUUGGGCACGGGGUCCUAGUCCCGAACACAUCGAUUAUUGAUGGAUUACUCGAGCUACUUUCACAACGAGAGCGGGUCACCAUGUGCCGAUCAGAGGACGGACUGGGAACGGCUCCUUUGGGGGCCUCCUUUGGGGGUUGGGGGCCCUUUGGGGGCCCUGGGGGCCUUCUCCGGGCGUCGAACAGUCAACUCAAGACUGGUGCGGACAAGGGGAAUCUAACUGUUUAAUUAAAAAAAGCAUUGUGAUGGUCCCUACGGAUGUUAAUGCAACGUGAUUUUUGCCCAGUGCUCUGAAUGUCUAAGUGAAGAAAUUCAACCAAACACGUGUAAACGGUGGGACUAACUAUGACUCUCUUAAGAUAGACCAAUGUCUUGUCAUCUAAUUAGUGACGUGCAUGAAUGGAUUAACAAGAUUUCCAUUGUCCUUGUCUACAAUCCAGUGAAACCAUAGCCAAGGGAACGAGCUUGGCAGAAUCAGCGGGAAAAGAAGACCUGUUGAGCUUAACUAUAGUUCAACUUUGUGAAAUGACUUGAGAGGUGUAGGAUAAGUGGGAGUCGAAAAGCCAAAGUGAAAUACCACUACUUUUAACGUUAUUUUACUUAUUCCGUGAAACGAAAGCGAGGCACUACCCCUCUUUCUGGACAUAAGGCUUGCUUCGGCAGGCUGAUCCGGGCGAAAGAAAUUGUCAGGUGGGGAGUUUGGCUGGGGCGACACAUCUGUUAAAAUAUAAUGCAGGUGUCCUAAGAUGAGCUCAACGAGAACAUAAAUCUCGUGUGGACCAAAAGGGUAAAAGCUCGUUUGAUUCUGAUUUCCAAUACUAAUACGAACUGUGAAAGCAUAACGUAUUGAUCCUUUUGACCUUCGAAAUUCGAAGCUAGAGGCAUCAGAAAAGUUACCACAAGGAUAACUGGCUUGUGGCAGGUAAGCGUUCAUAGCAACGUUGCUUUUUUAUCCUUCAAUGUCGGCUCUUCCAAUCAUUGUGAAGCAGAAUUCACCAAGUGUUAGAUUGUUCACCCACCAAUAGGGAACGUGAGCUGGGUUUAGGCCAUUGUGAGACAAGUUAGUUUUAUCCUACUGAUGAUGGUGUCGCAAUAGUAAUUCAACCUAGUACGAGAGGAAUCGUUGAUUCGCACAAUUGGUCAUUGCGUUUGGUUGAAAAGCUAGUGGCGCAAAGCUACCGUGUGCUUGAUUACGAUUGAACGCCUCUAAGUCAGAAUCCAGACUAGAAGUGACGCAUGCGCCUAUCACUCGAUUGUCAACAAGGUGUAGAGACCUUUCGACCCCCAAAGGCACGUGUCAUUGGUUAAGCCUUCAUGACGAAUGAGUCGCAGAGGCUGCCUU